rnacentral:tRNA from 1 species
GGGGGAGUGGCGUAAUUGGUAGACGCACUGGACAGAAAAUCCGGCAUGAACGCAACCCGCUUCGGUUCUCGUCCUGGGCGACCGGGACACCCGCUGAAGCUCACAAGCAUUUGUAGGUUCGACUCCUACCUCCCCCA